ACAUUUUCUUAAGGAUUAUUAUUUAAGGUAUAUUCUGCCCUAUGAUGUUUAAAUUUAAAUGGCUGCAGUAUACUGACUGUGCAAAGGUAGCAUAAUAAUUAGCUUCUUAAUUAGGGGCUUGUAUGAAUGAAUUAAUGAGAAAUUUAUUUUAUUAUAAUUAUUUUUUUAAUUUAACUUUUGAGUUAAAAUGCUCAAUUAUAUUAUUGGGACGAUAAGACCCUAUAGAACUUUAAGUUGUUAAUUAUUUUAUUUUAAUUUGGUAUUAAUUAUUUUUUUAAUUAUUUUCUUUUUGCUGGGGUGGUGAAUCAAUUUUAACUUUAUUUUUUCUAUUCAUUAAUUUAUGUGUUUUAAUGAUCCACUAAUAUUGUGAUUAUAAGAUUAAGUUACCUUAGGGAUAACAGCGUAAUUUUAAUGGAAAGUUCAUAUUUAUAUUAAAGUUUGCGACCUCGAUGUUGAAUUAAGAUAAAAUUAAGGGGUAGGUUCUUUGAUAUUAGGUCUGUUCGACCUUUAAAUUCUUACAUGAUCUG
rnacentral:rRNA from 1 species